AACCCUUGUUUGACCAUAGCUUUUACCCC
rnacentral:sRNA from 1 species